AACAGGCAGUGGAAGGAAAACAUGGUGUCUCCUUCUCUCACAGUUACGCUGAGAACUCUGGGAAGAAGAAAAAAAACUUUCUCCAUUUUGUCUUUCUCUUCUGCCUUUGCCUUCAGACCUGGUCACAUCUCAUUAACCUUGCUCCUACUAACCUUGCUCCCUAACCUCUUGGCCGCACCUCUCUUCUUCCUGAGAACUGGGGGUCCGUCUGAGUUAGCUGGGGCAAAUACAAAGUGUGGGGGCGCGGGUAAGAGCCCAAACCAUCACAGUCACAAAAGCCACAGGAACUGGAAGCCAUGAAACCUGACACUCCCCUGCCUCAAAUCUGUAAGAAAAUGAAAGCCACCGGAUAUUUAAAGACUGGCAAAAGGUUUUCAUCCAAUGUAAGAAGUGUUAAGUAGUGUGAACUUCCUCUGUUUUCCAAGCACUUGUCUGCAAUAAUUUAUUUAGUAGAUGAUAUUACACAGUGGAUUUACCAGCUGCAAAGAACCCAGAUAUCCUGACAUUAAUAAAA